rnacentral:rRNA from 1 species
GUGGGGAAUAUUGCACAAUGGGCGAAAGCCUGAUGCAGCAACGCCGCGUGAGUGAUGAAGGUCUUCGGAUUGUAAAGCUCUGUCUUUUGGGACGAUAAUGACGGUACCAAAGGAGGAAGCCACGGCUAACUACGUGCCAGCAGCCGCGGUAAUACGUAGGUGGCGAGCGUUGUCCGGAUUUACUGGGCGUAAAGGGUGCGUAGGCGGAUGUUUAAGUGAGAUGUGAAAUACCCGGGCUUAACUUGGGUGCUGCAUUUCAAACUGGAUAUCUAGAGUGCAGGAGAGGAGAAUGGAAUUCCUAGUGUAGCGGUGAAAUGCGUAGAGAUUAGGAAGAACACCAGUGGCGAAGGCGAUUCUCUGGACUGUAACUGACGCUGAGGCACGAAAGCGUGGGUAGCAAACAGGAUUAGAUA